GACAGUUGAACGGGGAGCCUGAUCACACAGGCUGAGAGGAAGAUGCAAAUCUUCGACCCGCAAGACCUGAUCCGGAUAAUGCCGGCGGAGGGAUGAGAUUGCAACGACAC
rnacentral:ncRNA from 1 species